UCGCAGGCUGCAAAGUUAAUAGAUCUUAAAACAUACAACAGAAUCGUGCGGAGUGGCGCACAAAAGCUUCCAGGCGCUUUGGAGUUUUGUCCAUCGAUGAUAUCGAGCCCUUAUAUCCACAGAAGAUGACACCCAGAAACCCUGAGUGUAAAAAAGAAGAAGAAGAAUUCCAGCUGCUGGAACAACCUACCUGCCAAGGACUUCCUGAGAUAAACUAGUAUUAAAGGUCUUUUUUCCUGUUGCCUGGGUUCUCUGUGAAAUUUAUUCACAAAUAAAAUCUAUUCAUGUCACUUGUUUUGGGAUAUUGUGUGUAUUUUUGGGGACAAUGCUUUACAGACUGAUUUGAUUUGCAGUACAGCAGGAUCCUACGGUGGCCCUGAAGUGCAAAUCCUGUAUGCAAAAGGACUGACACUUGUUGCAAUAUUUGUCAAAAAUCUACUGAAUACUGUUGGUUUGCAAGUAAAUUUUUUAAUUUAA